AAACUUUUUCCGCACAUACCAUUUUUAAAAUUAAUUUACCGUAUUUGUUAAAAUGUUCGUAAAUUUAAUUUUUGCUAUCAAUGAACUACAGUAUUACUUUUUAAUCAGAGCCACUCAAAUAUUUGCGCUGACUACGAAAACAGAAUUUGCUGAUAAAUCCGUUAUUUUGCCGACAAGAUGUUUUCAGGGGGUGUUACACCCCACACC